CCCGCCCAGCGGAAGGGCAGGGGAGGAGGGAGGGAAGGAGGGAAGGGAGAAGGGAAGGGAAGGAGGGACGGAGGGAGGGAGGCGCCGCUGUCACGGCCGCGCCGCGGCUCCCGCCCUUCUGGGCAUGUGCGGCGGGGGAAGGGAAGGGAGGGAGGGAGGGGAGGGAAGGGACGGGCCCGCGGCGGAGGAGGGGGGCAGCCCGGAGACCGGACCCCAAAGCCCAAACCCUGCACCAAUGUCAGCGCCUCGGCCCCGUGGUGAAGGCGGAGAGGGCUUGAGGCAGCGGGGAGCCCGCCCUGAUGGCCCUUCUGACCGACUGCAGCCCUGGCACCGAGCUAAAACUGUCAACAGCAGUCCCGCGAGAGGAAGCUUUUACCCCUGUGCUCGGUUUCAACCCAAAAACACACAGCAAUACGACUUCUUCUGCGUCAGAUCAGAUCGCUCAGCAGAACUGGCUUUCUGUCUGCUCUUGGAAAUAUAUGCAUAA
rnacentral:lncRNA from 1 species